rfam:Myotis davidii contig100175, whole genome shotgun sequence.
GGCCAUUCUCAGGUGACACACCUCAGAAUCGGGUUCUCUCCUCUCUGGUUCUGGUGCAUCACCCAAAAACCACA